rnacentral:rRNA from 1 species
GAUGAACGCUAGCGGCAGGCUUAAUACAUGCAAGUCGAGGGGCAGCAGGGGUAGCAAUACUCGCUGGCGACCGGCAAACGGGUGCGGAACACGUACGCAACCUUCCCAAAACUGGUGAAUAGCCCUCCGAAAGGAGGAUUAAUACACCGUAACAUAAUGAAGUGGCAUCACUUUAUUAUUAUAGCUCCGGCGGUUUUGGAUGGGCGUGCGCCUGAUUAGGUAGUUGGCGGGGUAACGGCCCACCAAGCCUGCGAUCAGUAACUGGUGUGAGAGCACGACCAGUCACACGGGCACUGAGACACGGGCCCGACUCCUACGGGAGGCAGCAGUAAGGAAUAUUGGUCAAUGGACGCAAGUCUGAACCAGCCAUGCCGCGUGAGG